UAAUCUCUCUCUCUCUUCUCAUACUUACUCAAUCUCUCUCUCUCUUCUCAUACUUACUCAAUCUCUCUCUCUCUUAACCUCUCUCUCUUUCUUCUCAUAUUUACUCAAUCUCUUUCUCUCUCUCUCUCUUCUCAUACUUACUCAAUCUCUCCCUCUCUUUAGAUCUCUCUUCAUACCUGCUCAAUCUCUCUCUCUUAAUUUCUCUCUCUCUCUCUUCUCAUACUUGCUCAAUCUCUCUCUCUCUUCUCAUACUUGCUCAAUCUCUCUCUCUUUCUCUCAAUUCAUUUCAAUGUAGCUUUAUUAGCAUGACUGUAAAUUACAGUGUUGUCAAAGCAUUAUAACAAUUAACAACAAUGGUAUAGGAACAUACAUAACAGACAUAAUAACAUUUAUAACAGAAAAUAAUGAUUAUUAUUAUUAUGAUAAUUAUAUCAUUUAUCAAUAAUUGUAAUUAUAUAAUAAUAAUAUUUUUCGUAUUUGGCAGCGAGGGGGGCGGUGUGCCCCUCCCCUAGAGUGAUCCGUAAUUUUUCGAAUAGUGAAAAUUCAAAUUCAAAAUUCAAAAUUUGGAAUCAAUUCAUUAAAUUUUUCCAUGAAGAAAUUCCGAGUUCUUUUGAAUUUGUCACACUGUAGAAGGAAGUGCAUCUCCGUCUCGACCUCACCUGUCGUACAGGACUGUUUAUACCUCUCUUCUCAUACUUGCUCAAUCUCUCGCUCUUUCUCUCUCUCUCUUCUCAUACCCGUUCAGUCUCUCUCUAACUUGCGCUCUCUCUCUUUUAAUCUCUCUCUCUCUUGUCAUACUUGCUCUCUCUCUCUCUCUCUCUCUCUUCAUACUUUCUCAAUCUCUCUAAAUUAAUUUCUUUAUUUUUGUAAAUUAGCUUUUUCUUUUUCUCUUUUUCAGUCAUUUGUAACGGUUAUUUAUUAUUAAAGAUUGUCCCCUUUAAACCACAA